CCAGGCAAGACGCUUGAGAUCAGCGCACACCUUCUCCAGGCUCUUGACGUUGCGGCUGGUAAGGGUGAUGCGGAUGCGAUGGGCUGGGACUUCCUCAACGGGUCCCUUCAUUGGAUCCUUGCUGUAAGCCAUGUUUUUAUAUAUGCUA